rnacentral:other from 1 species
UGUCCCCUGCGGUGUUCGUCAGAUCCAUAAUUCUUUGAACCGAUAAGCUAAGGCUUAGGUUGCGACCCUUGAUGUUACUGUUGUGCGCAUCCCCUGCGGAUGUACCUGAUGUAACUGGGAAGCGGCCCUCUUGAACCCAGGUUCAAGAUAUUGGGUCAACGGCACAGGCGGGGGGCUU